AGUGAACGCUGGCGGUAGGCCUAACACAUGCAAGUCGAACGGCAGCACAGUAAGAGCUUGCUCUUACGGGUGGCGAGUGGCGGACGGGUGAGGAAUACAUCGGAAUCUACUUUUUCGUGGGGGAUAACGUAGGGAAACUUACGCUAAUACCGCAUACGACCUACGGGUGAAAGCAGGGGAUCUUCGGACCUUGCGCGAUUGAAUGAGCCGAUGUCGGAUUAGCUAGUUGGCGGGGUAAAGGCCCACCAAGGCGACGAUCCGUAGCUGGUCUGAGAGGAUGAUCAGCCACACUGGAACGGAGACACGGUCCAGACUCCUACGGGAGGGAGCAGUGGGGAAUAUUGGACAAUGGGCGCAAGCCUGAUCCAGCCAUACCGCGUGGGUGAAGAAGGCCUUCGGGUUGUAAAGCCCUUUUGUUGGGAAAGAAAAGCAGCAGGUUAAUACCCCGCUGUUCUGACGGUACCCAAAGAAUAAGCACCGGCUAACUUCGUG
rnacentral:rRNA from 1 species